rnacentral:lncRNA from 10 species
CAAAGAAUAAUGGGAGAAAAACAGCUGGGUCCUAAAUAACAGAGGGAAACCAACUUUCAAUAAAGUAUUCAACAACUAAUCCACAAAGCAGAUAACUGAACUUGCUGGCCUGCUCUAUAGUGCUGUUGCUUAAAAAGUCAUCUGUGAAGAAAACCAGAGGGAGAAAUUUCACCUGCCAAAGUGGAUAAAGAGGACUGUGCUUGCAGCAAGAAAUAUUGAGGG